UGACGGCACUGGGGGUGUCCGAGGCUCUUACGAGCCGAGGGCUGAGAUCAUACCCUUAUUCACCGGAUCGCGGUAAUGCGCGCGUCGGGAAGUGCUUCACUUUGCGG
rnacentral:ncRNA from 2 species